ensembl:lncRNA
GUGGCCUAAUGGUUAGAGAGUUUGACUCCUAACCCUAAGGUUGUGGGUUCGAGUCUCGGGUCGACAAUACCACAACUGAGGUGCCCUUGAACAAGGCACUGAACCCCCAACUGGUCCCUGGGCGCCACAGCAUAAAUGGCUGCCCACUGCUCUGGGUGUGUGUUCACGGUGUGCGUGUGUUCACUGCUGUGUGUGUGCACUUUGGAUGGGAUAAAUGCAGAGCACGAAUUCUGAGUAUGGGUCACCAUACUUGGCUGUAUGUCGCGUCACUUUUUUUUUUUUUUUUUUGUAAAGAUGAAGGUAGUAGAGUCAUGCUGGAAACCCUAGAAUCUUCACAGGAACAUGGGAAACAACAUAGUGCUCCAUGCUAAACUAGACAUCACUAAAAGGGACAGAAUCGGAUAAAAGUGUCUGCUAAAUGACUUAAUGUAAAUGUAAAUGUAGAAGGAAUAAGAAUGGACUUUAACAUGAUUGGAACGUGUACAGGUGCAAAAUGAUGGAAUGUGGAGACAGAGUAUUUCCUUCACCAGCCAUAUUUUUUUUACUAACUAAAUAAAUAUUAUUAUCAUGAUGACAGGCUGGCAUUUCAACCAUUUUCCUAUAGUCUUUCUUCCAUAGGUUACUUUUGCAGUUCCAGCUGCUGUCACAUGGGGGAGAUAGAGUAAAGCUCAAAAAUCAGACCUCCAUACAUGAAAGAGCUAAGAAGAGGUUGUGUACUGUGAGAUCUCCAUCGAUCAGUUAGACACAGCAGCUGCUGCUCACAACAACAAAUAACUUUGUGAUCUAUAAUGCAUUUUCUAAUCCGUGCAUCUGCACACUCGUUCAUCUCCGUGAUUGGCUUCACGUCGAAGAUCAACAGCUCCUUCGGUCCCUGCAGACAGGGUCAUGAUUCUGCCUGACAAUAAGACAGUGAAUCUGGAGUAUCCAAAACAACUGCGACCUGGAGACAAGGGGAUAGAGAUGGAGAAGAAAUCAGACAUCAUUUCCAAGCUCUGCCCAAUGGUGCCCCUCAACUGCCGUCAGUUUUGGGAAAACCUGGCUGAGGAGGAGUGAACAUUUGGGAGAACAGAACAAACCACACACACACCCACUGGUGAUGGAAAUUUUGAUUCUUUCAAGAGAUUCGUUCGUUUUCAGGUCGUUCACCAAAAUGAUUCGUUCAGAUUCGUUCACAGAUUCGUUCAGUAACCAUUUCUUCAAAUUACAUAUAUUAGCCAGCAG